AUUCCAGUAAUUUAAUUAAAAAUCUUGGUUUUGCGUACCAAAAAAGGACUUGUCCCUGGAUUA
rnacentral:tRNA from 1 species